UCCUGAAUAGACUAAAUUAGAAUUGACCCCAACACUGAUUGUUGAUCAACUUGAUAACGAACAUCAUUAUUUUAAUUUGAAUAUUCAAAAUACUAUAAAUAUAGAAUGUUAUUAUUCCCCUCUGCUCCACAGGCAUGGCAUGGCAGCUCCAGCAGGGAGACUUUGAAAGCAGCAGCCUUUGCACCUUCUUCUCUGUCAUCCGUCCCAAAGGCAUCAUUGUGGUGUUCUGUGCCGUCUUCUUCCCCGUCCUCUCUGUCUUCACCUACUUCUACCUGGACAUUCUGAAGAUAGCUUGCGGCCAUCAGAGGCAGAUCCGCCAGGCCCGUCAGGCCGGCUCCAGGCUGCCCCAGCGCAGCCGCUACUGGGGCCACAUCAAGGCCCUGAGGACCGUGGCUCUGUUGGUGGGCUGUUUCACCCUCUGCUGGUGCCCUUUUUUUGUGGUGUGUGCAGUGCAGGUGCUGUGUGAGGCCUGUGAGUUGUACAAGGUGCUGGAGAAUGACCUGUGGCUGCUGGGGCUGUCUAACUCCCUCAUCAACCCUCUGGUGUACGCCUGCUGGCAGAGGGAGGUGCGGCUGCAGAUCGGGGCCCUCUUCUGCUGUGUUAAGGACAGGGUCAGGAACACAGCCGUGUUAGAGGCUAGUGAGAGAUGUCAGACAGAGCUGCGUAUACCCACUCAUACUGUUAUAUCUGUGGACGAUGCCAUGAGCCUGGACCCCACCCUUCACACGGUCACCAGUGAAGAGGGCCACACUGUACCGUUUUCUGCCUCAACCCCCUUGUGAAUGACUUAGACAUUUUGAGAACAUCUCAUUGAGGUUGAUCGAACCAAUUUGGAAAAUGCUUAAUGUGGCAGCUUAGAGCUUUGUCCAUUUCUGGCAGAAACAGUUCACGUCACGUCUAGCGACAGCAACUUUCUGACAUAAUCAAUCAAAUGGGGAAAAAAUAACAGAGUGAGAUAAUGGAUGUGGAGACAUCAUGGAACCUAAACCAUGGAACAGAUGGGCUUAUUUGCUUUUUUUGCUCUGUUUCCUCCACUAACCUAAUUGAUAUUAUCUCUGCCAAGUAUGCACUUUGUCCCUCUCUGCAUUCCCAUCAACCUCACUGUCUAUGUGUGUCUGAGAGGUGUGUAGGUGUUUUGAAGGGGAACAGCUUUUGUGUGUACACAUGGUUGUUCCCUGAUCAGUCAGGGAUUAUAUAUUUUUAAAAAUUGACAAAGUAUUUAAUUUCUUGGGAAAGUAGUGUGUAUUACUACCACCACUAGGGAGGUACAUGGUAAAUGUGUUUUAUUGCCAAUACUUCCUACAAAGGAUUAACUCAUAAUGUCAAUGUAGAAUUGCUUUAUAAUUUUCUCAUAAAUUACCAUAGUGGAAAUAUAUGAUAAAACCUUGAUAUGAGGUAGGUAGAAUAUUAUUGUUAGAAUGGUUGCUAUUCAAAAUAAAUGACAGAAUGCUUGGAUGAUUGAUUAUUCAUUCAUGAGCACUUCCUUGUCAUAUAAACACUUAUUUUUAGGAUAAAUAAGUUCAUAUUUUACAACUAGCCAAUAAAAUUACACUUUGUGAUAUGAGGAAUGAUGGUGCUAUAAAAGUAGAUUUCAUAUAGAAAAGACAUAAUAAAAGUCAGUGUUUAGGCCAAUGCGGCCAUCAGUGGCAUUGAAGAGAGCUUUUGCUUAAUCACAAAAUACCAUUGGAAUUGAAUAAUUGAAUUGAAUAUUGAAAUGCAGUUGUUCUGUGGGACUUGUUUGUACGAUUUCUAUAAUAAAAGUUGUUCAAUACUGAGAACAAGGGAGCAUGCCUUUGAACUACACCUCCCACAAACCCCUGUACGUAGUAUGACGCGACGGAAACUGAUGUUGGUCAGGGGGGCUCCAUUUUAAAGUUAGCAUCGUAUUUGCGUUCAUGAUAACUUCAUAAUGAAUCCCCUAACCAAGGUGAAACUGAUCAAUGAGCUGAAUGAGAGAGAGGCCUCAUUGGGGGUGAAGGAAAAUGUGUCAUGGCACUGAGUAUAAGGAUAGCGCCUGGAUUUUCAUCGGUAAAAGGCUGUGUCAAAGACACCCCUGCGAUUGAAUAGGAUUGAUCCAAACCCUGCUAUUACAGCCAUGUUUAAGGUGGGUUUCCAUAUGAGCUGACGGAAGGUGACAUCGUCUGUGUCUUCUCUCAGUGAGUCCCAUACAUACACCCCUUCCUCCAAUCACUGUCCUUUCUCUCCCCAUUCUUCAUCGUCUGUGUCUUCUCUCAGUAUGGAGAGAUGGCCAACAUCAACCUAGUGCGUGAUAAGAAGACGGGUAAAUCCAAAGGCUUCUGCUUCAUCUGCUACGAGGACCAGAGGAGCACCAUCCUGGCUGUGGAUAACUUAAAUGGGAUCAAGGUAAAG